CCGCUUGUGGUUCGAAAACUUCCCACACUAAAAAACUAGGAAAAA
rnacentral:ncRNA from 24 species